CCUACGGGUGGCAGCAGUGAGGACUAUUGGUCAAUGGGCGUGAGCCUGAACCAGCCAAGUCGCGUGAGGGAUGAAGGUUCUAUGGAUCGUAAACCUCUUUUAUACGGGAAUAAAGUGUGGGACGUGUCCUAUUUUGUAUGUACCUUAUGAAUAAGGAUCGGCUAACUCCGUGCCAGCAGCCGCGGUAAUACGGAGGAUCCGAGCGUUGUCCGGAUUUAUUGGGUUUAAAGGGUGCGUAGGCGGCUUGUUAAGUCAGUGGUGAAAGUUUGUGGCUCAACCAUAGAAUUGCAGUUGAUACUGGCAGGCUUGAGUAGAGUUGAGGUAGGCGGAAUGCGUGGUGUAGCGGUGAAAUGCUUAGAUAUCACGAAGAACCCCGAUUGCGAAGGCAGCUUGCUAAGCUAUGACUGACGCUGAUGCACGAAAGCGUGGGGAUCAAACAGGAUUAGAUACCCGAGUAGUC
rnacentral:rRNA from 1 species